UACAGAGGUCUCAAGCGUUGUUCGGAUUCAUUGGGCGUAAAGGGUGCGUAGGUGGCAUGGUAAGUCGGAUGUGAAAUCCCGGGGCUCAACCCCGGAACUGCAUUCGAUACUGCUGCGCUAGAGUACUGGAGAGGAGAUUGGAAUUUACGGUGUAGCAGUGAAAUGCGUAGAUAUCGUAAGGAAGACCAGUGGCGAAGGCGGAUCUCUGGACAGUUACUGACACUGAGGCACGAAGCCAGGGAGCAAACGG
rnacentral:rRNA from 1 species